UACUAGAGGCUUCCUGAAAUGAAUGUAAUAAAGAUGCAUUUCAUUAUUAUUGUCCUUUCAUCAUUAAAUGUUCUGCAAUGCUGUAUGUGUACAGUAAGCCCAAGUAAAAAGGUUCACUUCCAUAAUCUACUUAAAGUGCUCUAUUUCAUGUACUAAUUUUGUACUUAAUACAGCCUACAUUUUUUGUACUUUAGUACAUAAAUUUGAAUUAAAUAUUCUAAAAUGUCUUUUAAAAAAUGUAUUUGGGUAAUUUGAACCCAUCUUUGUAUAAAAAAUGAUGGAAGUGAAUGGGGCUCAUUAAUGGUUUGUUUACAAAACAAUUGGUACAAUUAAACCGUUAGCAAAAACUUGAGAAUUGAGCCAAGAGGGACACUGCUGCAAAUACCCUCUCACCUUACAUAUAAUCUCACUCCAAACUUUUGGUAAAUCUUGAGAGCCCUGCUGUUGCCAAGACAAGCCUACUACCACAUAUAGACUAUUAGCAAUACUAACUAGCCUACUUUUGCUAGCUCUCCCUGGUGUUAAGUUAAUAGCCUGUGCUGACUUAAUUUUUUGUAAUCUUUUUGCCUUUUCCCAUGCAUUUUUUAGAUCGACAUGAAUGUCAUAGAUGUAAUGGGGGAUGAAGAGCUGGGUCAAUAUAUUGAUAGAUAUGGAGACCGACUUGCUCUACGAGCAUUUUGUCGGCAAAGAACUUUGAAGAACAACAGUGGGACAGUGAAGUCAGCUCUGAUGCACAGGGUUCGAGAAAAAAUAGAAGGAAGAACCUCCACCAACAGCGACAAAGCUGCUGGUAGACCUAUCGGCAAUAAAUAUGCCGUGAAAGACACUCGGCGGGUCGAAAUGGGAUGGCUUCACAUUCACAAGGGUGAGUGUCACCAGGUCCGAACCAAAGGUGGAGGUGGAACACGGCACCUGUCUGUGCAGAAAACGAUAACUGUGGCAGAGCUGCUAGAGAUAGGCAAAGAUUUAUUCUUCCCAGAAGGACACUCUUCCAAAGGACCUAUUGGGAAGUUCGAUUUUGACAUUCGUGAUUUCAGCCAGAAUUCUCUACCUUUUGAUUGCACCAUAGACCAGCUGUAUGAGAAGACCAAGCUGCGAAUGCUUCGUAUUUACACAUGCUCCUGGGAUAAAAACACCCCAAUCAUACUCUUUUGGAUGCAUCUUCAGACUUUGAGCCCACCGAUGCGAGGCCAGUGAAGAAGAAAGCCAGGCGACGUUAUCACAAGAGGACUGAAUCCACAAAAGAGGAUCCCCUAGAGAAAGCUUCUGAUUCAGAUGCAGCAACUACUGACUCAGUCCAGGGAACUCAUGAAAGGAAGAAAACCAAGAGGACUGAAACUACAAAAGAGGAUCCUCUAGAGAAAUCUUCUGAUUCAGAUGCAGAUGCAGCACCUACUGACUCAGUCCAGGCAACUCAUGAAAGC